GGUAUUUUAUUUUGAAAGCCAUUCAUUUUCCGUAAUUAAAAAAAUAUAAUUUAAUUUAUUUUAUACAUUGAUUAAAUGUAGCCUGUGGAAAAAAGAGGGAAGAAAAAGAACAUUUAGAUGUUGAGUUUGGAAAGCGGAACCUUCGACACUGUAGCAGCGCCUCCAGGUGGCUGAAGACGGGGCAACUUCCUGUUUCCGUCAGAAGAACUUUGGAGAGUGAAGAGAGUGCUCGUGUCGUUCCUGCUCUGAGAUUCCUUUUCUUUUUCCAGAUCUGGGUAAUGGGAAUGUAGACUUCCCCGCUGGUACUUGGAAGUUAAUCACACAACAAUGGGGAGCUGAGGAAGGGAAGGAAAGAGAAAAGAAGGUGAGGACCACCAACCAGGAGAUCUAGAGGAAGAUCAAAUAGACCAGGAGAUCUAAGAUAUGGUCACAGAAGACAUGAAGAGAAGAUGACGUGGAGGACGGAGUCAAAUAUUGGUCAAUGUGGAAACAGUUAACAUUUAAGUUCAUUAUUUGAUGUGUUUUAAUGUGUACAUCAUGUUCUUAAUUGUGAAAUAAAUUACCAAUAACUGGCAGUAGUCUUUAAAUACGGGAAUUAUUAUACCUGUCUCUUUAAAUAUUACAUUUACAUAUUAUCCCACAACAGUCAGCAGAUUGACAUGUUAAUCUCAUGAGUUUUUAUUUCUGAUUGAUUGAUUGAUUGAUUGAACUGGCU